UAGGGGUGAGCAUUAAUUGGUUAAAACCGAAAACCGAACCACUUUAAUUAGGUUUUUCGAUUUCAGUUUUCAGCGGUUCAAUUCAAUUUCGGUUUUAGUUAUAACUAAAAAAAAUUGUUUCUCAGUUUGAUUAAUUCAAUAAAAAAAGAGAAAAAAACUGAACCGAAUUGAUUUUAUGCAAAGUGCUACGUUUUGAUGUGUAUAUCUAUUCAUUUUAAAGAAAACCCUAGGUGUCCCUAAAACAGCUACCCAAUAGCCUCCCUUUCAUUGUCUCUCUGCUUAGCCCUACCCCCACCUUACAGCCUCUCCUCCCUACAUUUUCUCAGUCUCAACCUACUAUUCUCACUCAAUCAUCGUCGCUCCUUAAGUCGUUGCCGGGCACCACUCCUUGCUCUCUUGUCACUCGUUGCUCCUCGCCCUCUCAUUGGUCGUUUGAGAUCUUUGCAAGUUGCAACAUGCUCUGGCCUCACUUUCCUUCUUCAAUUUGAUUGCAUGUGGGUUUUAAGAUAUUUGUGUACUAAUUUUCCCUCUUUCUAUUUUUGGACUAUUUUUCCUCUCUAGCCUAUUUGUAUAACAAUCAAUAAUGAUUGAUUUCCUUGAUCCUUUUUUUAUGAUUUUUUUUUUUACUAUUGAAUUGCUGAUUGUUGUUGGUUUAUUGCAUACCACUCCAGUUGAUUUGUUAUAUACUGCUUAGGAAUUGUUGUUGAUUAAAAUUGCUAUCAAAUUGUGAUGGAAUUGAUGUGAAAUUACAAUGCUGGUGACCUAUGAAACUGUAACCUAAGGGAGAGUAGCAAAACCAAUGGGCCAAACUAAAUUGAAAUGAAAAUUUUUGUUCGGUUUGAUUUGAUUUUCUCUAUAUAUCGGUUCGAUUUGAUUCAAUUUGAUUCUCAUAAUUUUAUAAUGUGGUUUUCCGGUUAGUUCGGCUUCAUUCGAUUCAAAACCGAACCAAUAGAUUGCACACCCUUACUUGCACUACACGCGGUGGCCCAUCUACUAGAUUCUGGCCUCUUCUUUUUGGCUCAGCCCUACAGGUCUAGUUCUUUUUACUAGUCCAUUGAUCCACUUCAGCCUGGCUCACUACAAUACUACCCAACAUGCUUUUCAUGUCCUAAACUAUUACCUACUCUGAUACCAUGUAAAAUCUCUAACGGAGAGUGUGGAUGACAAGUAGCAAAGGUCCAUGCAUUGAGAUUGGGGUUGCCUCUACCAAAAUGACUCAAGUCAGUUUGGCUUGCUUCCCCUUGCUAUAUAUUUUCUUGCUUUUUCUUAUUUGUUACUGAUGUGGGACACCCAACAAUUAGGUUAUGUUAAUCACCUAGAGGUUCAAGUGGCUUAAUUUUGCCAUCCAUGUCUCUUAAUUAACAUUCAAGGAACUAGAAAUAGAUUGCUUAAAGCAAAAUACAAUAUAAUAAAUAAGACCUUGCUCAAGAUCACACACACUGGUGAAUAUGUUAAUGGGGUUAGAUUCUCU
rnacentral:misc_RNA from 1 species